rnacentral:rRNA from 1 species
GAUGAACGCUAGCGGGAGGCCUAACACAUGCAAGCCGAGCGGUAUUGUUUCUUCGGAAAUGAGAGAGCGGCGUACGGGUGCGGAACACGUGUGCAACCUGCCUUUUAUCUGGGGGAUAGCCUUUCGAAAGGAAGAUUUAAUACUCCAUAACAUAUUGAACGGCAUCGUUUGAUAUUGAAAGCUCCGGCGGAUAGAGAUGGGCACGCGCAAGAUUAGCUAGUUGGUGAGGUAACGGCUCACCAAGGCGAUGAUCUUUAGGGGGCCUGAGAGGGUGAUCCCCCACACUGGUACUGAGACACGGCCCAGACUCCUACGGGAGGCAGCAGUGGGGAAUUUUGGACAAUGGGCGCAAGCCUGAUCCAGCAAUGCCGCGUGCAGGAAGAAGGCCUUCGGGUUGUAAACUGCUUUUGUACGGAGCGAAAAGGUCUUUCCUAAUACGGGAGGCUGAUGACGGUACCGUAAGAAUAAGCACCGGCUAACUACGUG